UACUAAAGUUGUUGCGGUUAAAAAGCUCGUAGUUGAAAUUGUGUCCUGCGGCGUCGGUCUACCGAUUGCGGUACGACAGGCGCGUCUGCGGGGCUUCUCGCCGGUGCGUGUUCUCCGCCGGCGCGCGUAUGGGGCGCCGUCGUCUCAAGGGCGGCGGCGUUACCGCGCGCGCAUCAGUGCGGGCCUCGCGGCUGUUUACUUUGAACAAAUUAGAGUGCUCAAAGCGGGCUGAUAUUCGCCUGAAUAUUGUGUGCAUGGAAUAAUAGAAUAGGACCUCGGUUCUGUUUUGUUGGCUUUCUGAUACCAGAGGUAAUGAUUAAUAGGGACAACUGGGGGCAUUCGUAUUGCGACGUUAGAGGUGAAAUUCUUGGAUCGUCGCAAGACGGACUAAAGCGAAAGCAUUUGCCAAAGGUGUUUUCAUUAAUCAAGAACGAAAGUUAGAGGUUCGAAGGCGAUUAGAUACCGCUGUAGUUCUAACCAUAAAUGAUGCCAGCUAGCGAUCCGCCGGAAUUUUWUWAUUNGAUUCGGUGGGCAGCUCCCGGGAAACCGAAGCUUUC
rnacentral:rRNA from 1 species